rnacentral:rRNA from 1 species
UACGGAGGGUGCAAGCGUUAAUCGGAAUUACUGGGCGUAAAGGGCGCGUAGGUGGUUAGGUAAGUCGGAUGUGAAAGCCCCGGGCUUAACCUGGGAAUUGCAUUCGAUACUGUCUAGCUAGAGUAUGGUAGAGGGAAGCGGAAUUCCGGGUGUAGCGGUGAAAUGCGUAGAGAUCCGGAGGAACACCAGUGGCGAAGGCGGCUUCCUGGACCAAUACUGACACUGAGGCGCGAAAGAGUGGGUAGCAAACAGG